AACUUUUGACAACGGAUCUCUUGGCUCUCGCAUCGAUGAAUAACGCAGCGAAAUGCGAUACGUAAUGUGAAUUGCAGAAUUCAGUGAAUCAUCGAAUCUUUGAACGCACCUUGCGCCCUUUGGUAUUCCGAGGGGCACACCCGUUUGAGUGUCGUGACAUUCUCAAAACCUUCUCGGUUUCUCGACCGGGAAGGCUUUGGACUUUGGAGGCUUUUGCUGGCAUUCCUUUGUUGGAGCCAGCUCCUCUGAAAUGAAUUAGUGGGGUCUGCUUUGCCGAUCCUUGACGUGAUAAGAUGUUUUCUACGUCUUGGGUUUUAGCACUCCUGCUUCUAACCGUCUCACAGUAGACAAAUGGUCCACUCGACCCACAAACCUUGACCUCAAAUCGGGUGAGACUACCCGCUGAACUUAAGCAUAUCAAUAAGCGGAGGCU
rnacentral:misc_RNA from 1 species